UACGAAGGACCCGAGCGUUAUCCGGAUUCAUUGGGUUUAAAGGGUGCGUAGGCGGAUUGAUAAGUCAGUGGUGAAAUCCUGCAGCUUAACUGUAGAACUGCCAUUGAUACUGUCGAUCUUGAGUACAUUUGAAGUGGGCGGAAUGUGUCAUGUAGCGGUGAAAUGCUUAGAUAUGACACAGAACACCGAUUGCGAAGGCAGCUCACUAAACUGUAACUGACGCUGAGGCACGAAAGCGUGGGGAUCAAACAGG
rnacentral:rRNA from 1 species